AGCGAACGCUGGCGGCAGGCUUAACACAUGCAAGUCGAACGAACCCUUCGGGGUUAGUGGCGGACGGGUGAGUAACACGUGGGAACGUGCCUUUAGGUUCGGAACAACACAGGGAAACUUGUGCUAAUACCGGAUAAGCCCUUCGGGGGAAAGAUUUAUCGCCUUUAGAGCGGCCCGCGUCUGAUUAGCUUGUUGGUGAG
rnacentral:rRNA from 1 species